CGGGCUUUUAGCAACAUCAAUAUCUCUACUUCAGGGGAGUCUUGUCACCAACCAAUUACCCUUCAAAUCUAGAGCAAACACCUCAGUUAAAUUAUGCUACUGGGAAUUAUAAUGGCCUAAACCGAAUUGGACAUGAGGGUGGUUUUGAGACAUUUGAUUUUGAGUCCACAAGUGGAGCUCAAACAAACAACAGGUCAGAAGCUUCAUCAUCUUUGAGUUCAUUUGUGGAGGUUAUUCGAGAACAGGACAGUGAGAUGCUAGCAGAAUUUCCAGAUAUUUUAGAUGUAUCUUUUGAUUACUAGGUAGUAUAAUUCAUAGUUUCAAUGGGUGGUUUCUCGAGUCUCGUUUGGAAUUCCUAUUGCCUCUUUCUUCGCAUCGGUGGUCCAAGAAUGAUCAGCAUGCAGGUAUGCUUGUUUUGGACUCUCUUGUGUUUUAGUAGACUUGUUAAUGGAAUGAUGAGUUUUGAGGUCGUUCUGUCAAAGCUUUGUAGGUGAUUUCUACUUCUCAGUCAACUGAAGGAGCUGAAUUUGAGAUCAAGUGGAGAUCAAGGACUGGGGAGCCAAAGGUGAUGGGUAAGUAUGGACAGACAAUGGUGAAGGGAAAUACGCUCCUGAGAGUCUGAGACACAUUUGGAAGAUUGAUGUUCUUUUCCUUCCACGGGAAGUCUGGAACUAUACAGGAUCCAUACGAAGCAAUACAUGAUUCUUUCGGAGCGAAUUAACCCGUUUUCUCUAUC